rnacentral:lncRNA from 1 species
UCGAAUGAAGAGGCAUGCAAAGUUGCGCGGCGACAAAUCCAAUUGUGGCACAAGAACAAUGGUGUUACAACAUCAUUGUGUGAUGAGGGUGAUGAAUCCACUGAUCCUGCUGCGCAAUCCGCUGCUGAUUAUCUUAUGAGGCUCGCACUGAAGAAGGGGACCGAGGACAAUAUCACUGUCAUUGUGGUUGACUUGAAACCUCGGAAGAAGCUUAAGAACAACUCAUAACAAGAGCUGGAUUCAUCAAGAGUAGCUAACCUUGAUAUGUCCGAAGAGUUCAUACUGCUAGUUGGUCGUCCACGUGAGACUUGACCCACAGUUUUUUUCCGUUGGGCCUCAAGAAUUGUACAUGUAUAUG